UAAAAAUUGAGAAUUAUGUCUAAUGCCAAUCAGAAAUGGAAUAAAUAAGUAUUAGAGGAUUUGCAAGUGAAAGCAACCAUAGAAAUGCUAUCAUCAGGAAGGAAAAUGUAUUACCUGCAGAGGUUACAGAUAAGACACUAGAACCCAGAAGAGAAAGAAUCUCUGUAAAUAUUUCCAUUAAGUUAAUCAAGAGUGGCUGGGUACGGUGGCUCAUGCCUGUAAUCCCAGGACUCUGGGAGGCCAAAGCGGGUGGAUCACGAGGUCAGGAGUUCGAGACCAGCCUGGCCAACAUGG
rnacentral:lncRNA from 1 species